rnacentral:rRNA from 1 species
AACGGCCGUACCAUGCUGAAUAUACCGGUUCUCGUUAGAUCACCGAAGUCAAGCAUCAUUGGGCUCGGUCAGUACUUGGGUGGGUGACCACCUGGGAACACUGCGUGCCGUU